GACUUGACAUCUCCUGAAUUACUCUUAAUCGAGGAAGUCCCUUCGGGGACAGGAAGACAGGUGGUGCAUGGUUGUCGUCAGCUCGUGUCGUGAGAUGUUGGGUUAAGUCCCGCAACGAGCGCAACCCUUAUUGUUAGUUGCUACUAUUAAGUUAAGCACUCUAACGAGACUGCCGCGGUUAACGUGGAGGAAGGUGGGGAUGACGUCAAAUCAUCAUGCCCCUUAUGUCUAGGGCUACACACGUGCUACAAUGGCUGGUACAACGAGCAGCAAACCCGCGAGGGGGAGCAAAACUUGAAAGCCAGUCCCAGUUCGGAUUGUAGGCUGAAACUCGCCUACAUGAAGUUGGAGUUGCUAGUAAUCGCGAAUCAGCAUGUCGCGGUGAAUACGUUCCCGGGUCUUGUACACACCGCCCGUCACACCAUGAGAGCCUGUAACACCCGAAGCCCGUGAGGUAACCGUAAGGAGCCAGCGGUCGAAGGUGGGAUUGGUGAUUGGGGUGAAGUCGUAACAAGG
rnacentral:rRNA from 1 species